UACGGGGGGAGCAAGCGUUGUUCGGAAUUACUGGGCGUAAAGGGCGCGUAGGCGGCCUGCUAAGUCGAACGUGAAAUCCCCGAGCUCAACUCGGGAACUGCGUCCGAUACUGGCAGGCUUGAAUCCGGGAGAGGGAUGCGGAAUUCCAGGUGUAGCGGUGAAAUGCGUAGAUAUCUGGAGGAACACCGGUGGCGAAGGCGGCAUCCUGGACCGGCAUUGACGCUGAGGCGCGAAAGCCAGGGGAGCAAACGGG
rnacentral:rRNA from 1 species